UACAUUCCUUUUAAUUCCUAUUGAUUCCUUUACUGUCUGUAAAUUGAUGAUCUCUAGUUAAGCGCAAUUAAAAACUUCUUGCUGCGUGGAACAGAUGGAACUUUUUACUUAACGGAUCCACGGCUUAAGUUCUACUGUUUCUCUCAUGGUUCAUCUUUGUGUUUCUUGUUAUGUGCUUGAUAUUGAUUUGUAAUCUUGGCACAACUAAAUCAAUGCCUUUCAUUCAAGCAGGCUCUUGGGCUUCAUUCGGAAACUGUCAAAGACUCUUGACACUACGAAACUGAAGCAUGGGAGAAGGGGUUUGACUUCGAAGUCAAGUUCUUGGGUUCAUCUAGAUGACAGUGCUGUGGAGUCAUUUGGGGAGAUGUGUUUGGAAAUUAUCAAGUUGGUUGAUGAUUCUUUUGAUGAUUCUAGUACUUCGUUAAAAGUGACAGCUGUUUUAGCGAUGGAAGUUUUGGUGUCCAAGUUUCCUUCCUAUUAUUUGAUAUUCAACAUAUGACUCUCCUUUGUGACCAGACAUAUCCAGUCAGACAAUGUGGCUUUCUCUGCCUGCUAUUGGAGAGCUGCGCUAUGCCCACCUCUUCAUUUAAUGAGCCUGUUUUUGAAGAUCAACUAUUGGAGGCUUUGCAGUUUGGUGGAGUGACCUUUUAAGAUUCUGCCAUUGUGCAGCCGUGUAUAGCUGUGUUGAGGAAUCUCAAUACUUCUUUUUACAUAGGUUUGAAAACUGGGAAACAGGAUCAACUUUUCUGAGACCUGGUGCUUCUGUUUCGGUCUGCUAACGGUGACAUACAAAAUGGCACUAGGGAGGCAUUACUUUGUAUAAAAUUUUCUUGAUCCAUGGUCGUCAGGAUACUUGAUUCUGUUUUCGAGCAAGAAGUUUGCACAAUUGGUUCUCCAUACGGGAAGAAGAAAAAGAAACAUGUCUCAUCUUAAACCAAAAUAGUGGAAGAACUGGCAAAAAUGAACUUUCUUUCUUGUGCUCUCUCCUAGAUUUUUUUGUUGUUGAAGAAAGAUUUAAAGAAUUUGCUAUAAUGAUUAUAUCUGCUCUUUGAUUAUCUGGAUCACUAGAUUAUUAUGUCGUGGUCGCUGUUUUGUUUACCAUGAUGCCAUUGUCGAGUUGCCGUCAUACAUAUUCUCAUAUUGGGGCUAACGAUAUUAUUCCCUUGGUUUGUAGGACUUCCCUAAUAGGGCCCUUAUUUAAGCUUCUCCGCAAAAUGUUUAUGGAUGAGUUGGUUCACAAUGAUGUUGACCAGGAUGUGCAAAAUAUACAAGCUUCAUCGGGCUUCUCUCAAACCGUUUUCAGUAUGAUAUGCUACAAUCAACAAACGCUACUAUUGAUUCUGGAAGAUAUAAGUGCCUCACUUUCGACUAUUGUUCCUGCAAAGGAUGAUACAAUGAAUAACUUUGACUUGAAGCUUUUGAUUAAUUGCGCCCGAUCUACAAAUGAUGAAAUCACUCGCAAUCAAAUCUUAAUUAUAUUAUCUACUUUUGCAAAGGUUGCUCCAGACAAAGUUUUGGCCCAUAUAGUGGGUAUUUGUACUCUUA